UACGUAGGGUGCAAGCGUUAAUCGGAAUUACUGGGCGUAAAGCGUGCGCAGGCGGUUUUGUAAGACAGAUGUGAAAUCCCCGGGCUCAACCUGGGAACUGCGUUUGUGACUGCAAGACUUGAGUGCGGCAGAGGGGGGUAGAAUUCCACGUGUAGCAGUGAAAUGCGUAGAGAUGUGGAGGAAUACCGAUGGCGAAGACAGCCCCCUGGGUCGACACUGACGCUCAUGCACGAAAGCGUGGGGAGCAAACAGG
rnacentral:rRNA from 1 species